CCCCAUAAUAUAUUUGAUAAGGCAUCUUAUUAAUAUUAAAGCUUCGGCACUUGAUGAUGGGUGUGCGGCUGAUUAGAUAGUUGGCGGGGUAACGGCCCACCAAGUCUACGAUCAGUAGCUGAUGUGAGAGCAUGAUCAGCCACACGGGCACUGAGACACGGGCCCGACUCCUACGGGAGGCAGCAGUAAGGAAUAUUGGACAAUGGACGAAAGUCUGAUCCAGCCAUGCCGCGUGAAGGAUUAAGGUCCUCUGGAUUGUAAACUUCUUUUAUAUGGGACGAAAAAAGGGCAUUCUUGUUCACUUGACGGUACCAUAUGAAUAAGCACCGGCUAACUCCGUG
rnacentral:rRNA from 1 species